rnacentral:rRNA from 1 species
CAGUAGCCGCGGGAAUACGAAGGGUGCAAGCGUCACUCGGAAUUACUGGGCGUAAAGCGUGCGUAGGUGGUGGUUUAAGUCCGUUGUGAAAGCCCUGGGCUCAACCUGGGAAUUGCAGUGGAUACUGGGUCACUAGAGUGUGGUAGAGGAUAGUGGAAUUUCCGGUGUAGCAGUGAAAUGCGUAGAGAUCGGAAGGAACAUCUGUGGCGAAGGCGACUAUCUGGGCCAACACUGACACUGAGGCACGAAAGCGUGGGGAGCAAACAGGAUUAGAUACCCCAGUAGUCCCUGUCUCUUAUAC